GACGAACGCUGGCGGCGUGCUUAACACAUGCAAGUCGAACGGAAAGGCCCUGCUUUUGUGGGGUGCUCGAGUCGCGAACGGGUGAGUAACACGUGAGUAACCUGCCCUUGACUUUGGGAUAACUUCAGGAAACUGGGGCUAAUACCGGAUAGGAGCUCCUGCUGCAUGGUGGGGGUUGGAAAGUUUCGGCGGUUGAGGAUGGACUCGCGGCUUAUCAGCUUGUUGGUGGGGUAGUGGCUUACCAAGGCUUUGACGGGUAGCCGGCCUGAGAGGGUGACCGGCCACAUUGGGACUGAGAUACGGCCCAGACUCCUACGGGAGGCAGCAGUGGGGAAUAUUGCACAAUGGGCGGAAGCCUGAUGCAGCAACGCCGCGUGCGGGAUGACGGCCUUCGGGUUGUAAACCGCUUUCGCCUGUGACGAAGCGUGAGUGACGGUAAUGGGUAAAGAAGCACCGGCUAACUACGUG
rnacentral:rRNA from 1 species